GCCCACGUAGCUCAGUCGGCAGAGCGCGUCCUUGGUAAGGACGAGGUCAGCAGUUCGAUCCUGCUCGUGGGCUCCA
rnacentral:tRNA from 5 species